GGUGGCUCAGUAGUAGAGCCCUUGUCUUGCAUGCAUGAGGCCCUGGGUUCAAUUCCUCAGCACCA
rnacentral:tRNA from 1 species